rnacentral:rRNA from 1 species
UACGUAGGGUGCAAGCGUUAAUCGGAAUUACUGGGCGUAAAGCGUGCGCAGGCGGUUGUGCAAGACAGAUGUGAAAUCCCUGGGCUCAACCUAGGAAUUGCAUUUGUGACUGCACGGCUAGAGUGUGUCAGAGGGGGGUAGAAUUCCACGUGUAGCAGUGAAAUGCGUAGAUAUGUGGAGGAAUACCGAUGGCGAAGGCAGCCCCCUGGGAUAACACUGACGCUCAUGCACGAAAGCGUGGGGAGCAAACAGGAUUAGAUACCCUGGUAGUCCACGCCCUAAACGAUGUCUACUAGUUGUCGGGUCUUAAUUGACUUGGUAACGCAGCUAACGCGUGAAGUAGACCGCCUGGGGAGUACGGUCGCAAGAUUA